ACAACUCGGCUGCCCUGGUGCAACCGGGGAGCCGUCCGGCAGGUUUUUCCUCCUGACCUGCCACGGCACGGGGCUGUCCUCUGCCCGCCUCGCCUGGGCCUGGCCCUCCCAGGCUCGCGGGCUCCUCUCUGCCAGAAGCAGCCGGCAGACGGCAGGUGCUGCGCCAGGAUGCCCAGCAUCUUCGCCUACCAGAGCUCCGAGGUGGACUGGUGCGAGACCAACUUCCAGCACUCGGAGCUCGUGGCCGAGUUCUACAACACGUUCAGCAAUGUCACCUUCUUCAUAUUUGGGCCUCUCAUGAUGUUUCUGAUGCACCCCUAUGCCCAGAAACGCUCCCGCUACUCUUAUGUCACCUUUAUCCUCUUCAUGGUUGUAGGCCUGUUCUCCACGUACUUCCACAUGACCCUCAGCUUCCUGGGCCAGCUGCUGGAUGAGAUCUCUAUUCUGUGGCUACUGGCCAGUGGUUACAGUAUAUGGAUGCCCCGCUGCUACUUUCCCACCUUCCUGGGGGAGAACAGGUCCCGGUUCAUCUGCUUCAUCGUUGUCACCGCCGUGGUCAGCACCCUCCUGUCUUUCCUGAGGCCCAUGGUCAACGCAUAUGCCCUCAACAGCAUCGCCGGGCACAUCCUCUACAUCGUUUUCCACGAGUACAAGAAGUGGGUGGUGGCUGCAGGCACCCAGGGAGGUGGCUCCCUCCCCCCUCCAGCACCCCCACAAUACUCACCGCAUUUCAGGCACAGAGUUCUCACUGACCCCGGGCUCAAGGAGGGGGUGCCCAUUUCCCAAGGUCAUCCACUAGCAAGGGGAAAGGGCAGGGUUAGAAUGGAAGGCUGUCUGGCUGCAGACCUUGUCCUUUUUAUCAUGCAAACCUCCCAACACACAUGCACAUAGCAAGCGUCGCACCAUACACCUCCAUGUGCUGCCAGCCAGUCCCAGCCACCAUCAGCAUUUUGCCCACCUGCAUUGUAUGUUCCCCCCUCCAGAUUUCAUAUCAUGGCACCCAUUAAUUUUUCAGGAUUUAACUCACCUGAUAAAGAAUUAUUUUUUUUAGCCCAUGCUAGGUCUUAGCAAGAUAGAGAAGGAGCUCUCAAGUGGGGGCCGUUUGAGGUGAGCUGAAUAAAAGGGUUCUUUCCAAAGGAGAGGGCAAGGUAUAAGGGAAUCACUAGGGAUCCUUUAGAAUCCGUGUUAAGGAGAGUGAGAUUCCGUGACCAUCAGGAGACGUUGAGGUUGGGGGUCUAGGGGAGAGAGCGAUCGCAAGAGUCUGGAAAGAGACAGCCCUGAGGAGAGGGUCUCCUCGGCAAGGGCUGGGGCCUCAAGAGCAGUUACUAGUUGUGGCCAGCCUGGGCCGACUCCGCAGGGAGGAAGCCAGGGAAGUAAAUAUCCAAGCAGUGCCCUCCUCUCAGCCUUUGAUUUCCUGCUGGGUCUCCGGAGGGCCAACCACAGCUGGAAGCCCAAAGACAAGGGAACCCCUGGAUUUGGUCUACGCAGCUCAGCACCCCUGGAGCAUAAGGCAGAGUGGAGAAGGAAAGGCUCUAGAGGGACAAAUGGAAAAUAUGGUGCGCGCAAUCCUAACGAUGUUAACAAUACUUGCUUCAAAUAGUAUCUGAUACCCAGUGUGCGCCAUUCGCCUCCAUUUCCCCAAGGGGCCUUCCUACACCUGGUCUUCUUUGAAUAGGAUCCAAACACAGUCUCUUCGAUCUUCUUAACUUCGCAGCCGGUUUCCCUUCUCUCCCUCUUUCUCUGGGCCUCUUACUUGAUAACAGAAACUUGAUCAAUUGUCCUGUAGAAUAUUGGCUGACUGCUUCCUGUGGUGUCUUUCAACAUUUUUCCUUAUUAUUAUUAUUCCUGCUUUUGUAUUUCGUGGGGAUUAAUAGUUUGAUCUAGAUUUAGGUUUAAAUUUUUUUUAGCCUGGAGUGUUUCAUGUGUGGCCCUUGGGUGCUUCUUGUUCCAUCCGCUUAGGAGACCGUAACGAGCGGCUCUCCCACGUUUAGCCCCGUUAAGGUUGAUCAGUAGAUUCAGCUAGUGUCAGCCUGUCCCUUCAUUAUAAAGUUUCCCACUGACCUUUCACCUGAUGACUUCAGCAGCGAUGCAUGCUGCCUCCACCUAUGAUCUCAUUAGCGGUUUUGCAAAAGCAUCUUUUGUGGAAUCUGUGAUUUCUUCUGCAUUGAUCAUCUGGAGCUCUGCCAUCAGGAGGGACUUGCGCUCAGCAAAACCUUGAAACAUGGUUUGGAAAGACAGGGUAGAUCGUUGAUUCUUUCCCUGUACUUACCGGUUUCCAGAGUCAUGGGUUAGUGCCUUCGCUGUCUCUAGCUGGGACCAAUGAAGUGGGUUUUUUUUAAAAGUGGCAUUAUGAACACAUGGAUGUUUAUAUCUCAGAAGGGUUUCUGUUCAUAGCAGUCACUGUGCUAUAUCGUUAACUUUUUAUAGCGAGUUGCAAAAAUAGCAGAAUCCUGUGUACGCUUCCCCCAGCCUCCCCCAGGGGCCCCCGGUGGCAGCAUCUUCUGUAACCCUAACACCAUCACAAAAGGGGAACACUGACGAUGGAGCAGUAUGGCUACCGAGACUGCAGACUUUAUUCAGAUCUCGCCACUUCUUACUCAUUUUUCUUUUCUGAUGGUCAAACUGUCCCAUUUUAGGCCAGCGGUUUAGGUUACGCUUUUAACCCAUAAAGGAGAUACUGCCUCAUUAAUCCCCCAUAUGCCCUUCCCUAAGGGACACUGGGUCAGCACUUCUGUUGGGGUAAUGCAAAUGCUGAUUUUCACUUGUCCCAGGAUGUGGCCUCUGGAGAAUGCACCCUCCCACACACGGACAUGCACACUCUCACAGCCACGCAGACAUGCAUUCCCAUGUGCUGACUCACAGGCGCUCACACAGUCACAGCCCCAAGCAAACACAGAAAGGCUUGCUGGUGACGCAGUCUGCCAUCUGACAGCCCUGGGUCAGACCCCAGCUCUGCCACUUUCUAGCUGUGGAACUUCAGGUGGGGGUGGGACACUUGGCCCGUGGGGCGGCCCUAUGUGGACAUCAGCGCUGGUGACAAGGCCUGCUGAGGUCUGCUGGCUUCUCAACUACGGAGCCACCUGGCCACUCCCCUGAGGGGCCUGGAUCAGGAGUCUGACCUUAAUCUCACAUGCCUCCGUUUUCCCAUCUACAAAAUGGGAAUAUGGCGUCAUUGUGGGGACUGAGAGUCGAGUCUAUCAGGACUUCCAGAACUGCGCCAGGCAUCCUGUGAGCGCUCAGCAAAUGUUAGCAGGAAGCCCAGAUCACGCCCCGCCCCCUUGCCACCCUUGAUCCUUCCCUCUUCCCAGUCUCAUCUCCUUGGAUGGAGGAAUUUCCCAUCAGCCCCUUCAGGCUCUGAUUCCCCUUCUUCCCUCCUGAGGACAAACAAUAAGGAGCUUCGGCAUUUAAUGGAGGUCUCCGUGGUUCUGUGGGCUUUUGCGUUGACCAGCUGGAUCAGCGACCGCUUGCUCUGCAGUUUCUGGCAGCAGAUUAAUUUCUUCUACAUGCACAGCAUCUGGCAUGUGCUCAUCAGCAUCACCUUCCCCUAUGGCAUAGCCACCAUAGCCAUGGUGGACGCCAGGUACGAGAUGCCAGACCAAAUCCUCAAAAUCCGCUACUGGCCUCGG